GAAUUCUGCUCCUAAAUCUAGUUUCGCUGUUCUGGGAUGGGGCAAGAAGGGAUAAUGAUAUGCUAGCGCCUUGAUGACUGCAAUAACACCCGAUUAUGUUUUUUUUUCCUUGUUGAAAACUGUCACGGUUUCAGCACACCGCGUGGAGUUUUGCACAGGCCCAGAGUGUUCCCGCUUCGCCUUCUCCAAAGAGGGGAGCCUGGACAUUUAUUGAAAACGUGGAGAUUGCAAAGCAGUGGGCAAACAGCAAUGGCACAAGCGGAUGAAGUAUACAGCGACCACAAUAAAGACAAGGCUCCUGCAUCAACGUGUGUAUGACCACAUAGACUCCAGAAAGUUCUUCUUAUUUGAAACAGUCUGAAGGCGGAAUUCUUAAAUCACAAUGAGUAACCUUGGGAAUUAACAGUGCUUUGUACGUGUUUUAUGGUAGGUUCUUCAUCUUUUAUGUAGUCCGGGGUGUUUCUCUCCCCCCACCCCCCAAGCAAUUCAUUCCUUUCCUCUUCUCUGGCCCUCCUAAUGCAGAAAAGAAUAUGUUUAGAACAGAAUGAAUGAAGCAAAGAACCGGCACAAAUCAGAAACGGUUUUUAUGUGUAUGUGUGUGUGUUUUGGCUUGUAUUUGCUCCAAAAGCAGUCACAUAUAGCUAGCGUGGGACGGCCUAAAAAUGCGGCUGCUGCUGCAACCUUGCAUGGCAAACCCAUCCAGACCUAAUUCCUGUUCAGACUUGCAAAAAGAAAAAAGCCCAAGGCUUCCUCGCAUCGCGGUCCAAACAUCACGUCCCAGACUUUUCACUACAGGCCAAGUUCUUUCGAUCAGCCCUUACAAUUCAGGAACAACAAUAACAGAAUAAUAAUGAUUCUGAGCAGAACUCACCCAAACACACGUUGUCAUUUCUUUGCAAGUCUUGCAUUAGAAUUCAGCACCUCCGAACGAAAAAUGUAAUUUAAUUUGGCAUGUCAGUUAGAACUGAGGGUGGAUUGAUGUAUUCGCUUUAACUUUAGUUCAGUAGCUUGCUCUGAAAUAUUCGGUGCAAUCACAGAUCUAAAUCCCCCUAUCUCUGCUGGGAUGCACAUAAGCUAUUAGAUAAAAAUAAUCGCGGGGGAAGAAUAUUAAAGCCCAUAUUCCUAACCAUUAAUCGUUAGCGACUGUUCCCGCCAGCAAAAAGAACCUUAACACUUGUUUUGGUCUCAGGAGGUAGUGUCACACGAGUUUCCAAAAUAUGCCAGAAGUUGCACGAAAAGACUUAAAAAUAUCUUGUAUGAUAUGAAAAGUUAACGGGUUGGGUCUAUGUUGUUAAUGCUGAGCACCCAGUUAGCAUUAAACAGCUCUUAAACAAUCAUCUUCACUUAAAAAAAAUAGAAUCGCAGUUUCGAUUCCACAUUAAUUCUACCUCCGUAUGGAAAGCCUGUGAUAUUAUUCACCCAAGUUAGACUGUAUUCCGGACAUGAAGCAAAACAAUAAAAGCAGAAUUCGCCCCGGUCCUAACGCAAAGCCAGCCGAUUAAAACGCCUUAAACUCAAAAUGUGAGUCCAUGUGUAACAUCGGCAGCGGGUGUUACAGAGUAAGGGUUGUGUAAAAGGGGCGUUUGAGAGCAGACUCGACACAACGUUAAUCAGGUUCAACACGGAUCAAAGAUAGCUGGGUUUCUCUUUUAAAACGAAAUACAAUUCACAGCAAAAAAAAAGCUCAGAAAAUGUAUGAAAUUGCACGCUCCGGCUGCACUUCUAAACUGCUGCAGCAGAAUGAACGGUUGGCUCCAAUUUUGGUCGUCUGAGGGCUUUUUUUUUAAGGAAAGAAAGUUCUAGCAAAUGGCCUACGCUAACAUUUCUGGACUGCAACCAGUUGAGAAGUUUAACACUGAUUGUUUUGGAAAAUCAUAGGCUUUUGAAGCCGACUAAUCUUGACAAGAAUGUUCCAACCGUAGCCUAAUCCUAAAAAAAUAAAAUCCUGCAAAUGUAAAAUUCAAGGUGGGACUUAACGUUACCAAAUCGUUCAAAAUCUUGAGUGUUUUCUUUAGAUGUGCGAAUUUAACAUGCUUAAGCGUAAGUGACUAGUAUUAUUUUACACAUAUCCAGUGCCGUAUUUUGGACAUAGUUAUGCUUGGUAGUUGGGAUUUUACUGCUGUUUCCUUUGUGAAUCCUAACGCAAAUAUCAAUGGAUCGGAAACCAAAACAGACAUUUCUCUGGAAAGUACCUCGCUAACAAAAUGAGAUCUGAACAACUUCAAAUUCAAUUAGAACUCCAACCGGUAGCUGUUUCCAAUUACUUUACGCCAAUUCGUGUUACAGAUAUGGUAAACAACUCGAUAAAAAAAAAGAUUAUAUAGCACAAGAUUUACUGAAGUCUUAUCACACUAAAAAUCUGUACUUGCAACUUGCUGUAACACCGCGGGGAAUACGCGCCAGCCUGCUCCCUUCCUGAUUCUGGCUGCCCGAGUGAAAUUUGUGUUGUUGAGAAUUGAAAUAAACGUGACAUGGUCCCAGUG